rnacentral:lncRNA from 1 species
GUAUUCCGAGCAUCCCACGUAUUUUCAUGGCUACUGUACUCUCGUGAGGCGUGAGCUAGGAGAAGGUGCACUACGUUGUUGAUCGGUCAUGGUGCUUCAAUAAAUAGGCAUGCCCCCAAGGUCUUUGCUCAUCAGCUCUUCAUCUUACACGCAUUGUUUAGUGGUUGUGCUAGGCAACCUACUUGGUUCUGCGCCCUAUGAGAG